UACGUAGGGUGCAAGCGUUGUCCGGAUUUAUUGGGCGUAAAGAGCUCGUAGGCGGUUUGUUACGUCGGAUGUGAAAUCCUGGAGCUUAACUCCGGGCCUGCAUUCGAUACGGGCGAGCUGGAGUGUGGUAGGGGAGACUGGAAUUCCUGGUGUAGCGGUGGAAUGCGCAGAUAUCAGGAGGAACACCAAUGGCGAAGGCAGGUCUCUGGGCCAUUACUGACACUGAGGAGCGAAAGCGUGGGGAGCGAACAGGAUUAGAUACCCUUGUAGU
rnacentral:rRNA from 1 species